rnacentral:rRNA from 1 species
AUACGGAGGAUGCGAGCGUUAUCCGGAUUUAUUGGGUUUAAAGGGUGCGUAGGCGGACGAUUAAGUCAGCGGUUAAAUCGUGGGGCUCAACCCCAUUCUGCCGUUGAUACUGGGUGGCUUGAUUGCGGUCGAGGUUGGCGGAAUUCGUUGUGUAGCGGUGAAAUGCAUAGAUAUGACGAAGAGCACCGAUUGCGUAGGCAGCUGACCAGACCGCAAAUGACGCUCAUGCACGAAAGUGCGGGGAUCGAACAGGAUUAGAUACCCUGGUAGUCCGCACAGUAAACGAUGAAUACUUGUUUUCGGCGAUAUAAUGUCGGAGGCAAAGCGAAAGCGAUAAGUAUUCCACCUGGGGAGUACGCCGGCAACGGUGAAACUCAAAUGAAUUGACGGGG